UNGAACGGGUACAUGNAGUGCUUGCACUUGCAUGCACGCAGUGGCGGACGGGCUGAGUUAAAGUAUGGGGCAUCUGCCGAAUGGAGGGGGACAACAGUUGGAAACGACUGCUAAUACCGCAUAAAGUUGANAGACCAAAGCAUGGGACUUACGGGCCAUGCGCCAUUCGAUGAACCCAUAUGGGAUUAGCUAGAUUGGUAGGGUAAUGGCUUACCAAGGCGACGAUCUCUAGCUGGUCUGAGAGGAUGACCAGCCACACUGGAACUGAGACACGGUCCAGACUCCUACGGGAGGCAGCAGUGGGGAAUAUUGCACAAUGGGGGGAACCCUGAUGCAGCCAUGCCGCGUGUAUGAAGAAGGCCUUCGGGUUGUAAAGUACUUUCGGUGAUGANGAAGGUGAUGUAUCUAAUAGGUGCAUCAAUUGACGUUAAUUACAGAAGAAGCACCGGCUAACUCCGUGCCANCAGCCGCGGUAAUACNGAGGGUGCGAGCGUUAAUCNGAAUGACUGGGCGUAAAGGGCAUGUANGCGGAUAAUUAAGUUAGGUGUGAAAGCCCUGGGCUCAACCUANGAAUUGCACUUAAAACUGGUUAACUAGAGU
rnacentral:rRNA from 1 species